rnacentral:rRNA from 1 species
AUAUCAAUAAGCGGAGGAAAAGAAACCAACAGGGAUUGCCUCAGUAACGGCGAGUGAAGCGGCAACAGCUCAAAUUUGAAAUCUGGCCUCACGGUCCGAGUUGUAAUUUGUAGAGGAUGUUUUGGGUACCGCCGUGGUUUAAAUUUCUUGGAACAGAAUGUCAAAGAGGGUGAGAGUCCCGUCUUGGACCGCGGUAGGGCCUGUGUAAAACUCCUUCGACGAGUCGACUUGUUUGGGAAUGCAGGUCAAAAUGGGUGGUAAAUUUCAUCUAAAGCUAAAUAUUGGCCAGAGACCGAUAGCGCACAAGUAGAGUGAUCGAAAGAUGAAAAGCACUUUGAAAAGAGAGUUAAACAGUAUGUGAAAUUGUUGAAAGGGAAGCGCUGGCAACCAGACUCGUGCGCGGGGUUCCCCCUUGCUUCUGCGUGGGUUACUCCCCUAUAUCCAGGCCAACAUCGGUUUUGGCGGUCGGUCAAAGGCCCUGGGAAUGUACCUUCCCCCGGGAAGACUUAUAGCCCAGGGUGUCAUGCGGCCUGCCGGGACCGAGGAACGCGCUUCGGCUCGGAUGUUGGCGUAAUGGUUGUCAGCGA